rnacentral:rRNA from 1 species
CCUACGGGAGGCAGCAGUGAGGAAUAUUGGUCAAUGGGCGAGAGCCUGAACCAGCCAAGUCGCGUGAGGGAAGACGGUCCUAUGGAUUGUAAACCUCUUUUGCCGGGGAGCAAAAAGCGGUACGCGUACCGCAUCGAGAGUACCCGGAGAAAAAGCAUCGGCUAACUCCGUGCCAGCAGCCGCGGUAAUACGGAGGAUGCGAGCGUUAUCCGGAUUUAUUGGGUUUAAAGGGUGCGCAGGCGGCGAGUUAAGUCAGCGGUAAAAUUUCGGGGCUCAACCCCGACAAGCCGUUGAAACUGGCGUGCUAGAGUGGGCGAGAAGUAUGCGGAAUGCGUGGGGUAGCGGUGAAAUGCAUAGAUAUCACGCAGAACUCCGAUUGCGAAGGCAGCAUACCGGCGCCCAACUGACGCUCAGGCACGAAAGCGUGGGUAUCGAACAGGAUUAGAUACCCGAGUAGUC